GACGAACGCUGGCGGCGUGCUUAACACAUGCAAGUCGAGCGGUAAGGCCCUUUCGGGGUACACGAGCGGCGAACGGGUGAGUAACACGUGGGUGACCUGCCCUCAGCUCUGGGAUAAGCCUGGGAAACCGGGUCUAAUACCGGAUAUGACUCCAUGACGCAUGUUGUGGGGUGGAAAGCCUUGUGCGGCUGAGGAUGGGCCCGCGGCCUAUCAGCUUGUUGGUGGGGUGAUGGCCUACCAAGGCGACGACGGGUAGCCGGCCUGAGAGGGCGACCGGCCACACUGGGACUGAGACACGGCCC
rnacentral:rRNA from 1 species